AUCUUCCCGGACCGGGGCACGAACCCGCAUCCCCUGCAUCGGCAGGCGGACUCUCAACCACUGCGCCACCAGGGAGGCCCGGAGUAAGCUCAUUCUUAACAUGCCAUCUUCUCAUAGCACAUUGUAAAGGUAAUUCUGUUAUAACACUUACAUCUUGCCCUAUGACUUUUUGUGCACAACUGUAGAAAGACGUGCCUUCCGCAUGGGAGCGCGGGUUAUGAAUGGCUCUGGGAUGAGGCCUGUGUCUUGUUAACUCUACAGUUCUGCCUCAACCCUGCCACCCAAAGGCUGGCCCCUGGCUCCCAGUAGGGGCUUAUUAAAUGUUAGCUUCCCCAAAGUGUUUUUUCAAUGCAUUAGAAGUCCAACCACUAUAUAUGGAAGUAUAUAUACAUAUAUAUAUAUUUUUACUGCUGUUGAGUCCAAUAAUAGUAGCUCCUUGCUCUGUUUCACUUGUCAGAUAUAAAGACACCGGAACUGAAUUUCAGAUGUGUACCUGUAAUAUGCACGCCGUCUUUAUUUAUGGAGUGGAACAUCGCUAAACUUUACAGAUGUGGGAAAGGUCACUUUAGUUACAAAUAUAAACCAGUUAUCUUAGCACAACAGUAAAGGUGUUUUGGAAACUACUAUAAUUACUUUGUUCAGUUAACAGGCUGACUUGUAACCAGUGCUUAUUAUUUUCAACAUCCAUCUUAUUUUUUUUCCUACAAGAAGGAAUCUCCAAAGUUAUGCCAAAAAACUGGAAUUGGAUUGAGAAAGACAAAAGUCAGUGCAUUCGACUGUCUCUAAUAGGAAAUAAGCGUUUAGAGCUGGUUUUAAAUUGGGUUUCUUUGCUUUAAUAGUAAUUUCCUGAUUGUUAAACAUCCCCACACUUUGGUUGUGGUUAGUCAACUUAUGAGACCUCUUAAUUCAGAAUCUUUCCUUGGUUCUCAAGAUGAGGGAGCAGUGAAAUUGCUUCCUCUUCGUGACCUUGGAAGUAUUUAGUGCCGGUGAUUCCAAAGUUGUACAUGAUUGUUCAAGGCUCCUCUGUCCUUUUAAGCUGUCUGUUGUUGAGGCCCAGACAGUAAAUGGCUGGUUUUUGUAGAGUCGGGGCCAGUCUACAUAUUGGUCACACAUUCCGCCGCUUGGGGAGUAAGUUAAAGGGCUGAGACCCACCACCAAACAAGGACAGUAAAACAGAGAGGGUGUGGCCAACUUGGCCACCGACUUCCCAAGUCCUAGUUCAUCUUGGGAGAUUCAAUCAAAUAGUCAUUAAAACAAAACAAAACAAACCUAUCAUCUCUUCCUUUCCCUUCCCAUGGAUUAUUGCAGUCACUUCCCUUUUUUUGCCCCUAGUCUUUCAUUUUAGAGUCACAGACUCCCUGCUUAGAAGGACCUUAAAAUCUCUCAGUACAUUGCUCAAUACUUAAGAUACCUCUUCACUCAGUUCUACACAGCGCUGCCAGUUAUCUUCCAAAACCUACUUUUGCGAUGCCGCUCACCGUCUCAGUGCCUUCUAUUGUCUCUCUGUUGCCAAAGGAUAAAGGUCAAACUCAUCUGCCUCAACCAUGGGGCUCCAGCCAGCCCUUCAGCCUCAUCCCCCCGUAUCCAUAACAGAGUCUGUGCUGCUAACUGGUCUCGCCGUCCAAGCUGUGAGCUUUCCUGACCCUGUGACUUAACUGAAGCAACCUUCUCCUCUCCCUCUGCCCAUCCAGAUUCUCCCCAUCCUGCCAUCAGGCACCACAACCCAGAAUGUUCCGCUCUUAUAGACCACUUAGAAUUAAUUGCUAGUUAUCCUUCAGUGAGAGGACUGUCUUUCUCUCUAGAUUGUAAACUUCACAAGGGCAGGAACCCUGAAUGUGUUACUGUGUAUCUCUUCACAGUACCUGAAACAAUGCUUUGUCUGGAAUGUCAAAACCAAUAAACGUUUGUGGAUUGAAACAGAAGCUCAUUUAUACCAUCGCCAGCGGCACACAUGAAGAGGUGCCUGUGGCUGCUUGAUACUGUUGAGGGUUUGUGUGUGUGUGUGUGUGUGUGUGUGUGUGUUUUCUUGAAUCACAGGAAAGAAUCACUUGAAAGAAAGCUUUUGUCCAUAGAAAUAGAAAAAUCCAGGCCUUUCCCAACACUUCAUAAGACAGCAUGCUCACCAGAUGGUGGGCAGAGGUCUCCAUCCUCCCUGUGUCAGUCUGAGGCAUGCCCCACGUCACAAAUGCUGCGACCUAGUGCACAAAACUCAAGAUUCCAGGACAUUCAAAGAGUAUCACCAGGGAGCCCCUAUGGGUACCGCCAAAUCUGGCCACUGUACUUUUGCAGGUGUGUUUGAUGUGUCUGUGCUAACCCUUUUUUUUUUUUUUUUCUUCUUCUUUAGGGGCAAGGAGAGAGUGAUCUUGACAUCUUGUUUAGAUCUUCAGAUGAACUGGCAGAUUGGAACAUACGAUUUAUACUUUAUCAAGGAAAACUGAAACAUUGCUAGAAGAAAUCAUUGAAUUUGGAGCAACCUUGUGAAACAGGUGGUUCAACUAAUGGGACAGCUGAGACCCGCGGGGUCUCUGCCCCAUGCUGGAGAGUGCAUGCAACUCAGCAGAGGCUGCUGCAGGACACCUCGGGCCCUGAGGCCUGAUUUCAUGUCCACCCCACCCCGUCACUGUGUACGGGACAGUGCUUCCAGGAGCUUCAGAAUCCCACGCUUUCCCAAGCCAAGGGGGUCACUUUCCACACUCUGCUCACAUGCUCUUCCCAUCUGCAGAUCGCGCCUCUACCACAUGUAACCUUUCCUGUUUUCCCGACUGAGCCAGACCCAAGGUAGGCUGUAUUACAAGGUAGGUUAAGUAGUAAACUCACUUUGGCUUGAAAGAAAAUUAAUGCACCAGAUAAAACACAGUUGUUUUUGGAGGUCAUUGCAGAAAUUUUAUACGUAGUAAGUGAUAUUAUAAAUUGUAAUACAAGAUUUCAAUGUCAAUAGCAGGUCAGGCAUCUUGCAAAGUUUACAUGUUGAAAGUCUUUAACUUUACAACCCUAGGUUAGAGAAAGGGAUGCAACUUAUCAGACACAUUUCACAUUUUUUCCUAUGAAUCAUUAAAUAUUUAAGCGCCAUAAAAUUCAAGCAUUUCACACAGAUGUGGCAGCCAGCCUUGGUGGUUGAAAAUGCAUUAUGCAGAGUCUCUGGCAGAUAAUAACAGUGACAAUUGCAGAGUACUGACUUUUUAAUGUCAGUUGUUUUGUUCCCUGCAGAACUUCCUGAUAAUGACCCUGCAGGAAAUUGUGAGUUUUGUGUGUGUGGUACAAUAACUUUGAGAAUUGAAAUAAAAUAGCAUUCCCAAAGACAUUAAGAAUUGGCCAGGUAUAAAUAAUUCUAAUCAGUAAUUUAUAUGCCCUGUGAGAAUCCUUAUGUUAAUUCUACUAUGUAAAGAAUCCCAAGAAAUAUUUUUCAUAUUAAACAUCUUGUUUUAAAUAGAAGAUGUGACCAUAAUAAAUAUACAAGGUCUGCUAUCUGCUGGACAUAGAAUCUAACUUAAUUUUCAAUGCAAUAGUAGGUGUUACGUCCCACUUUGUAAAUGUGGAAAAUGAGGCUCAGGGAGUUGGUAUAACUCACCCAGGGUAACACCUCUGGAGAGUGACAGAGCUGGAUUGAAGCUUGGAUUCAACCAACUCUAAAGGCACAUCUUUCCACUGUUCUUGCAGCCACACCAAAUAAAAGUAACUAUUAUCAUAUCAGUCUGGUGAGCUGAUAGAAGCACAAAUCUAAUGUAAUUUCCUGGAAAACAGAAUGAUUUGCUUUAUUAUCAUCUCUAAGAGGCUCAAAAUAAAAUCCUUGAUAAAAUCCA